CAGGUCAGGCUGUGAUUAGUUCUCCAUCGCACUUGAAUAACUCUUAGGAAGGACACAAUUAUGGCCGGUUAUAAACAUUGAAAAGAGCUUUCUGACAUAUUUGGACAACAAAAAUCCAGCCUUUUAAUUUUGGUCAAGUGUGUGGUGCUUCUGUUUGAAACCUCUCCACAUUUUCAUUUGGACAAACAAGCACUGUAAUUAAAGCUAUUAGAAUAAAAUCUCUGAAUUAUUUAAAAAAAAAAAA